GGCUCUUUGGUUUAGAUGAAGAGUUUAAUCUGCCCGGUGAUAUAUUUAACGGCCGCGGUAUCCUGACCGUGCGAAGGUAGCAUAAUAAUUUGUCUUAUAAUUGAAGAAUAGAAUGAAUGAUUUGACGAGGGUGAGGCUGUCUCGUGUAUAUUUAUUAUAAGUUGAUUUUUAAGUUAAAAGGCUUAAAUAGAAUUAAAGGACGAGAAGACCCUGUUGUGCUUUAAUAAGUGGUUAAAUAAAAAUAUGUAAGAGAUAAGUAUAAUUAACUUUAAGUUUUAGUUGGGGCGACUAAGGAAUAUUGAAAGCUUCCUAAGUAAAGAGUUAAUAGUGUUUGAUGAUCCAAAGGAGUUUGAAUAAAGAAUAAGUUACCACAGGGAUAACAGCGUUAUUUUUUUGGAGAGUUCUAAUCGAGAAAAAAGUUUGCGAC
rnacentral:rRNA from 1 species